GAUGAAGAACGUAGCGAAAUGCGAUAAGUAGUGUGAAUUGCAGAAUUCAGUGAAUCAUCGAAUCUUUGAACGCACAUUGCGCCCUUUGGUAUUCCUUAGGGCAUGCCUGUUCGAGCGUCAUCUAAACCUUCAAGCUCAGCUUGGUGAUGGGCGACUGUCCCCCCCCCUCGCGGGGGGGACUCGCCUCAAAAACAUUGGCGGCCGGUACAUUGGCUUCGAGCGCAGCAGAAACGCGGUCUCGAGCCCGGUGGAUCGGCUCCCAUAAGCCUAUUCUUUUAUUUUGACCUCGGAUCAGGUAGGGAUACCCGCCGAACUUAAGCAUAUCAAUAAGCGGAGGA
rnacentral:misc_RNA from 1 species